GCCUUAUUUCCUUCUCGGUUCUCUAACACAUGAGACUCCAUCAGGACAUGAGCAGUUUGCAACCUGGAAGAAGGAUCUCACCAGAGUGUGGACAUGCUGGCAUCCUGAUCUUAGACUGACAGUCUCCAGAACCAUAGGAAACAAAUUUAAGUUGUUUACAGACCACCGUAUUGAUGAUAUUUUAUUAUAGCAGCCUGUGUGGACUAAGACAGGAAUCCAAGAAGCUCAUUUGUAUACUGAUGCCUGGAAAGCAGUGAUUUAGUGGAUCCUGGAACAAGUUUGCAAAUGUGGAGAUCUACAUUGACCAACACUGCCUGUGACAAGAGGCUUGUGUGUAGCACGCGGGGCCCAGACAUGAUCUCUGCAGACUUUCCCCCAGUUUAUCCCUUUCUGCCUGCAAGCGAAGCUACAUUCAUCCCAAGGCCUGAAGAAGCAGGAUUUCUGUCCUGAGACAGAAUCACUCACCCAUCAUUGGCAACGGCUCCUGGAAUUGGCAUGAAGUGGGCCUUUUCACUUUAGUACCUUGGGGACCAGACACUUUUGUAUCUUUUCAACAGCAUUUGGCCUCAAGGACAGGAAUAGCAGGCAAAGACUUUUGAAAUAAAAAAGCUUUAUGUUAAGCCUUGACAAUGAUUCUUCUAGAUAGCAGCACAAAGAAAUGGAGAAAGCCUGGAUUAGGAGCUCAGUGACCGGAAGUCUUUGUUUAAGUUUUUCUGGAAUUCACUGCUGAAUGUUGGCUCUUUGGAAUUUGCAAUAUCAGAUGGUGGAGUAUUAAUAUCAAUACCGGAAAGUCCAACUCUACGACGUUUUAUCCCUCACUAGGAGCCAGCUAGAACUUGUAUCUCUUGAUAAAAAGUACUUAAAUAAACCCUGUUCUCAGUUUUUUCUCA